UCACCCCUCAAGCCCCCUGGCUUGGUGUUGGACGGUUUGGUGGAGGCCCGUUUUACCGGGUCGCUGCCCCUCCCAAAGACAAUGACGGCGGCCUCGUUGGACCCCCGGUACACUGAGUUCUUCACGGGACACGUACUGGACACAAGGGUGCGCGGGGCACGGUCUGCCUCCCCUCUAGGGAGAAAUUUCUUAA
rnacentral:misc_RNA from 1 species